rnacentral:rRNA from 1 species
UACAGAGGUCUCAAGCGUUUGUUCGGAUUCAUUGAGCGUAAAGGGUGCGUAGGCGGCGCGGUAAGUCGGGGUGUGAAAUCUCGGAGCUUAACUCCGAAACUGCAUUCGAUACUGCCGUGCUUGAGGACUGGAGAGGAGACUGGAAUUCAUGGUGUAGCAGUGAAAUGCGUAGAGAUCAUGAGGAAGACCAGUGGCGAAGGCGGGUCUCUGGACAGUUCCUGACACUGAGACACGAAGGCCAGGGGAGCAAACGGG